rnacentral:rRNA from 1 species
AGGUAGGACUACCCGCUGAACUUAAGCAUAUCAAUAAGCGGAGGAAAAGAAACUAACAAGGAUUCCCCUAGUAACUGCGAGUGAAGCGGGAAAAGCUCAAAUUUAAAAUCUGGCGGUCUUUUGGCUGUCCGAGUUGUAAUCUAGAGAAGUGUUAUCCGCGCUGGACC